UUCGCUUUGGGAGGGACCUGCGUCCCAUCAGCUAGUUGGUGAGGUAACGGCUCACCAAGGCUACGACGGGUAGGGGACCUGAGAGGGUGACCCCCCACAAUGGAACUGAAACACGGUCCAUACACCUACGGGUGGCAGCAGUAGGGAAUAUUGCUCAAUGGGCGAAAGCCUGAAGCAGCAACGCCGCGUGUGCGAUGAAGGUCUUCGGAUCGUAAAGCACUUUUCUGAGAGAUGAGAAAGGACAGUAUCUCAGGAAUAAGUCUCGGCUAACUACGUGCCAGCAGCCGCGGUAACACGUAGGAGGCGAGCGUUAUCCGGAUUCACUGGGCGUAAAGCGCGUGCAGGCGGUUUGGUAAGUUGAUCGUGAAAGCUCCCGGCUCAACUGGGAGAGGUCGGUCAAUACUACCGAACUAGAGAGUAGAAGAGGAAGAUGGAAUUCCCGGUGUAGUGGUGAAAUGCGUAGAUAUCGGGAGGAACACCAGUGGCGAAGGCGAUCUUCUGGUCUAUUUCUGACGCUCAGACGCGACAGCUAGGGUAGUAAACGGGAUUAGAG
rnacentral:rRNA from 1 species